rnacentral:rRNA from 1 species
GACGAACGCUGGCGGCGUGCCUAAUACAUGCAAGUCGAGCGAAGUUUUUCUGGUGCUUGCACUAGAAAAACUUAGCGGCGAACGGGUGAGUAACGCGUAAAGAACCUGCCUCAUAGACUGGGACAACUAUUGGAAACGAUAGCUAAUACCGGAUAACAGUAUUUCUCGCAUGAGAGAUAUUUAAAAGUUGGUUAUGCUAACACUAUGAGAUGGCUUUGCGGUGCAUUAGCUAGUUGGUGGGGUAAAGGCCCACCAAGGCGACGAUGCAUAGCCGACCUGAGAGGGUGAUCGGCCACACUGGGACUGAGACACGGCCCAGACUCCUACGGGAGGCAGCAGUAGGGAAUCUUCCGCAAUGGGCGAAAGCCUGACGGAGCAACGCCGCGUGAGUGAAGAAGGAGUUCGGUUCGUAAAGCUCUGUUGUUAGGGAAGAAUGGAUAUGUAGUAACUAUACAUGUAAGAGACGGUACCUAACCAGAAAGCCACGGCUAACUACGUG